ACUCUUUUCCACACAGCGCCGGAAUGUAUGUGUCGUUCCUCUGCAUUUUGUGUCCUUGGAGCCGUAUCUUCGCGGUACCUCCUAGAGGUGGGGUUGUGGGGUCCAAGGGUAAAUGCACCCGUAGAUUUUGUGGGGUGUUGUUCACCCAUAAGGGGACACCAAUCUGCAUUGCCACCAGGGGUGCCUGAGCCUGUCUGUUUGUCCACAGCUUCACCGGCAGAGCACCGUGUCAAACUUCUGAAUUUUUGCCAGUCGGAUGGAGGAGAAAUGGCACCUCAGCCUGGCCUCCCUCAGCAUCUCUCUUAUAUGAGCAAAGUUAAUGCCUUCUCAUGUAUCCAAGGACCAUUUUUGCAACCUUUUGGGGAAACUGUUUUUCUUGCCCUUUGCUCAUUUUUCUCCAUGAUUUUUGCGCUUUUGUUUCUCGACUUUUAAAAAGUUCCUUGUAUAUGAAAGCCAUUCACCUUUUAUCAGUGAAAGCACAGGCUCAUCAAGAAGCUCUGGUUUUCUCCUGCCCGGACCCUCCCACGGAGCCUGCGGCCAGGAGGAAGUCAGCAGGAAGCAUGUUGGCACAGCCUCGGUGGAAGCGAAAGACCACACGCUGGAAUCCCAAAGCUUCAACUAUUCAUCAGCUGCCCAGUGCGCCAGUGGCGGUUCGGAGUGGCUGUUAGCCUGGCAUUGACGCUAAACCUGGAGCAACAAGGACCGAAAUUCAGCCCAAACGACUGUUGGCACCUCCACCUCUGAGGUCUCGUGGAAAUUGGAUGAUCAAUUUUUAAGUGGCUUUAAUGAAAUAUUAGUUCCUUCUCCUUUGAAAUCGAUUUCACCAAAGCCAAAGCUUUAGAUCAGGUGAAAUCGCUCUUGGAAUAUGCCAGAGACAGGAUCCACCAACAGGCAGGUCUUCUCCGCCACUGACUGCCGGGAAGUGUCAAAGAACUGGGAGCCAGAGAUGGUUCUAUGGUCUCGGGAGGGAGCAGGGCCCAUGCUUCCCUCACCAGUCCCUGACUCAGGGGGUGGCAGUGAGUGCCAGGGAGUGACUGGCAGCGUCCCGACAGAGUGAAAGAAUGAGCGAAUGAAUACGCACGAAGCCAGCCUGUUAGGCUCCAUCACGGAAAUGCUUGCUUUGCCUCCAGGGAGUCAGCUGAAGACCCAGUGAAACAAAAGCUUUCCCAGGUGACCCUGGGAACCCCUGCGUCUCCUCCGGGGGUCCCGGACCUGGUGGGGGAAGCACACCAACGCUCCACCUGCUGACCCCCACCCCGACCCAGGCACCCGGGGCAAUGACGAUGGCAAGAACAUCCGCCUCUGUCUACACAGCAGAGACCGACACGGUCCUGUUCCCCGGAAGCUCAGGCGAAGAAGGAAGCAGGCGGCACCCUGCCAGGAGAGGCAGACGAGGGAGGGGCUUCUGCCCAGAGGAGUUCUUUUUGGGGGCUGGGAGGGGGUGUCACAAAACUUCUCCCGUGAAGUUUUCCCGAGUUCUAACCUCCUGCCAGGGGGCAGGAAUACCAGGUAAGGCGUUCGCCGAAUGCCAAGCCUGGAGCGGAGGCAGGGAGAGGGAGGGCACCCACUUCCAAGGACACUGGGACUGUGACCUUGAAGCCAGUCCGGUGUGAGGCCUCAGGUAAUUCAGGCCCCACCCCCACCCCCGCCGUGGGAAGUGAGGGGACCCCUGCCAGAAGCAGGAUGCUACACCUGGGCUAAUUCAGAAGAAGGAUGCAGGUUCACCGGGCAGGGCAGGCUGGGGGCGGGGACAAGGCCAGCAUGCACUGUGUAUGUCAGGCAUCAGGGCGGUACUAGGGGGUCGACCAGACUUGUGCCAUAAACUCACUGGAGAGAAGCAGCCUCGACUGCCCCACCUCCCUGGGGAUGGAGAGGCAGCUGCCACUGGGUGCAGGUGUUAGCUGGGUUGCAGGUGUCCCCACACCCACUGGGGGAGCCCGGCUGUCCGGUUGCAGCUGGGAGUGGUGGGCCAAGUGGGAGGGCUGCUCCCCCCACCGACUUGCUGACCAGCCACAGGCCAGGGGGCUGGAGCCGGGGGGAGGAGAGGAGAGGCUGCUGUGCCUGGGCUGGGGGUCAACCCCACACAGGGGCUGGGCCCUGAGAGCCCCGGUCAGCAAGCGGAGCCCUGGGAACUGUGCUCAGGGCUGCGGGAGACGUGCACGGACCCCCAUCUGCCUCCUCUGGACCCGCUGCCAGUGGAAGGCAGCGUCUGGUUUUUCCUUUUCUCUUUACAAAGAUAAACCGCUCCCGCUGCCGAAAUGUGGGAAAACGAAAGAAGACAACGGACACGAGAAUCACCUUCACGGCACCCAGCUGCACGGCCGCGGCCGUAGAGGUGGCAGAGGCGGGGUCCCUCACUGCCGUGACCGGGGUGGGAGGGGACAAGACUCCAGUGACUGGAGUCAGGUCCUCUUGUCUUCAGGUCACAAAUGAUUGGCAAAAAGCCAUAUCGGGGCUCGAAUCAUACGGUCAGAAGUGCAAAUGCAGGGAAGGCGAGGUCGCUGAGGCCGGCUGAGACCCCAGCUAGCUCGGAGGCCACCAGUGGCUUGACGGCAGGGGCGCGGGGACCCUGUAGGGUGAGUCUGGAGAGCGGGCGGCGGUGGCCCCACUGCGGACAAGCCAUGGGCACCCUGGCUCAAGGCUCCCCCCCGACCUGAGUGCAGCCCAUCCCCGGAGACCCUCCUCUGGCCUGACGGGGGAAGAUGGGGGUCUGAGGCCCCGGGCCGGCAGGGGAUGGCAGCAGGACCGGUUCUGAGCGGCCUCCGGAGGCCUGGGUGGGGGCUCGCGGGGGAGAAGUCGCCCCCGCGUCACGUGCUAUGGGAGCCUCCCCGCUUGGCGUCGUUAUAACCUUUUUAAUUCCCUGGGAAAAAAGACGUGAAAGCCACAUCAGCUGGGCCGUGGGCUGAGGUUUAAAUGUGAUUGAAACUGCGGCGUGACUGGGGAGAAGGUUGACUGGUCUGCACAGCCUGCCUGGCUGGGUUUUAUGCCCACUGGACUCUGCCCUCGGAGGGAGUCAGGUGAGCGAGGCCGUGGUGAGGAAGUGGAGGCUGUGCGCCCAGACUAGGUCCGCCCUCUCUGGUCCUCGUUGAAUCCGGGGGUCCAGGAGCUAAGGAAAGGCGUGUCUUCACUUCUCCGGGUCCCGCAGGGGCGGCGUCGAGGGAUCGGGGGGCUGCCCCAGGCCUGCGGGCUGUUCAGACACAGCCCUGAGACCCACCUUCCCCCACGGCCGCCCCCCAUGGCCAUGUCCACCUGAACGGGGAGAUCUGGCCUGGAUGGGGCGGGGGCAAGGGUGCCACUUUCAGCCGAGUAGGACGACUGAUGGUUACACUGUGGGCCUGGCACUUGCCUCCCCAGCCGGAUGCCUGUCUGUGCCGCUUACCGCUCGGCCGCGACGAGCCUCAGCUUCCCCUUUGUAGAAUGGGAGUGGGGGCCAGGCUCAGCUCUGAGCUUGGAUGUGCUAGCCCUGGGGCCCCGCCCGCCUCGUCUCCCUUAGUCACUGUGGUCCUUGCUGAGGGCCCGGCGGGUGGGGAGAGAAGAUGGGGUGCUGGGCGGGGGCCCCCUGGAUGUGCCGACUGAGGCCGGGGCCCCCAGUGCACAGUCCCGCCUUCCAGGCCCCCAGCAGGACCAGCAGCCAGGCGUCCACUCACACAGCCCCAGGCAGACGGCUGGACCCAGAGCCGUCAUUUUUCUUCAAAACGCCUUUUCCAGCAAGAAGUCCAAACACGAGGACGCCAGCCUGAGCUGACACAUUGUGGUUGUGACACGUUUUAAAUAGCUUUCACUAAUUGUGCUCAUUGCUCAUCUCUUCCUACCAUUUCAUAAAUUGCAUUUAAUUGUUUUGGGGUUGCUUCUUUAAAAAUAAAUUGUUACCUAGAA
rnacentral:lncRNA from 1 species